GACAGAGGCCUCGAGCGUUAGGCGGAAUCACUGGGCUUAAAGCGUGUGUAGGCGGACGCCUAAGUACCUUGUGAAAUCCCACGGCUCACCCCGUGGAACUGCUGGGCAUACUGGGCGUCUUGGGCCAACUAGGGGCAGCCGGAACAAGCGGUGGAGCGGUGAAAUGCGUAGAUAUCGCUUGGAACGCCGAAGGUGAAAACAGGCUGCUGGGGUUG
rnacentral:rRNA from 1 species